UACGUAGGGGGCGAGCGUUGUCCGGAUUUAUUGGGCGUAAAGAGCGCGUAGGCGGCCCUGUAAGUCCGCUGUGAAAGUCAAGGGCUCAACCCUUGGAUGCCGGUGGAUACUGCAGGGCUAGAGUCCGGAAGAGGCGAGUGGAAUUCCUGGUGUAGCGGUGAAAUGCGCAGAUAUCAGGAGGAACACCGAUGGCGAAGGCAGCUCGCUGGGACGGUACUGACGCUGAGACGCGAAAGCGUGGGGAGCGAACCGG
rnacentral:rRNA from 1 species